AUUGAACGCUGGCGGCAUGCUUUACACAUGCAAGUCGAACGGUAACAGGCCGCAAGGUGCUGACGAGUGGCGAACGGGUGAGUAAUGCAUCGGAACGUGCCCAGUCGUGGGGGAUAACUACUCGAAAGAGUAGCUAAUACCGCAUACGAUCUAUGGAUGAAAGCGGGGGACCGUAAGGCCUCGCGCGAUUGGAGCGGCCGAUGUCCGAUUAGGUAGUUGGUGGGGUAAAGGCUCACCAAGCCAACGAUCUGUAGCUGGUCUGAGAGGACAACCAGCCACACUGGGACUGAGACACGGCCCAGACUCCUACGGGAGGCAGCAGUGGGGAAUUUUGGACAAUGGGCGCAAGCCUGAUCCAGCAAUGCCGCGUGCAGGAAGAAGGCCUUCGGGUUGGAAACUGCUUUUGUACGGAACGAAACGGCUCUGGUUAAUACCCGGGGCUAAUGACGGUACCGUAAGAAUAAGCACCGGCUAACUACGUG
rnacentral:rRNA from 1 species